UACGUAGGUGGCAAGCGUUGUCCGGAUUUACUGGGUGUAAAGGGCGUGUAGCCGGGUUGACAAGUCCGAUGUGAAAUCCUGCGGCUUAACCGCAGAACUGCAUUUGAAACUGUUGAUCUUGAGUACUGGAGAGGCAGACGGAAUUCCUAGUGUAGCGGUGAAAUGCGUAGAUAUUAGGAGGAACACCAGUGGCGAAGGCGGUCUGCUGGACAGCAACUGACGGUGAGGCGCGAAAGCGUGGGGAGCAAACAGG
rnacentral:rRNA from 1 species